rnacentral:rRNA from 1 species
ACACUCCUACGGGAGGCAGCAGUGGGGAAUUUUGGACAAUGGGGGCAACCCUGAUCCAGCAAUGCCGCGUGAGUGAAGAAGGCCUUCGGGUUGUAAAGCUCUUUUGUCAGGGAAGAAACGGUGGUGGCGAAUAACUACUACUAAUGACGGUACCUGAAGAAUAAGCACCGGCUAACUACGUGCCAGCAGCCGCGGUAAUACGUAGGGUGCAAGCGUUAAUCGGAAUUACUGGGCGUAAAGCGUGCGCAGGCGGUUGUGUAAGUCAGAUGUGAAAUCCCCGGGCUCAACCUGGGAAUUGCAUUUGAGACUGCACGGCUAGAGUGUGUCAGAGGGGGGUAGAAUUCCACGUGUAGCAGUGAAAUGCGUAGAUAUGUGGAGGAAUACCGAUGGCGAAGGCAGCCCCCUGGGAUAACACUGACGCUCAUGCACGAAAGCGUGGGGAGCAAACAGGAUUAGAUACCCCGGUAGUCCCAUGA